UCAUCGUAGGUGAACCUGCGGUGGGAUCAUCAAUAGACUAUAACUAUUGUCAAAGUCCUUAGACCUAUUUGGGAUAAGGCAAAACUUAUGAUUUAGUAAGGGCACAAUUUAUUGUCUUUGCGAAUCAACUCUUUACAAUUACAUCUUUAAAACAUUUUUAUUAUAACGUCAAUUUGAUACAACUAUCAAUGGUGGAUCACUUGGCUCUUGCAUCGAUGAAGAACGCAGC
rnacentral:misc_RNA from 1 species